rnacentral:rRNA from 1 species
GAACGGGUGAGUAACACGUGGGUGAUCUGCCCUGCACUUCGGGAUAAGCCUGGGAAACUGGGUCUAAUACCGGAUAUGACCUCAGGUUGCAUGACUUGGGGUGGAAAGAUUUAUCGGUGCAGGAUGGGCCCGCGGCCUAUCAGCUUGUUGGUGGGGUAAUGGCCUACCAAGGCGACGACGGGUAGCCGACCUGAGAGGGUGACCGGCCACACUGGGACUGAGACACGGCCCAGACUCCUACGGGAGGCAGCAGUGGGGAAUAUUGCACAAUGGGCGAAAGCCUGAUGCAGCGACGCCGCGUGAGGGAUGACGGCCUUCGGGUUGUAAACCUCUUUCAGCAGGGACGAAGCGCAAGUGACGGUACCUGCAGAAAAGCACCGGUAACUACGUGCCAGCAGCCGCGGUAAUACGUAGGGUGCAAGCGUUGUCCGGAAUUACUGGGCGUAAAGAGUUCUAGGCGGUUUGUCGCGUCGUUUGUGAAAACCAGCAGCUCAACUGCUGGCUUGCAGGCGAUACGGGCAGACUUGAUACUGCAGGGGAGACUGGAAUUCCUGGUGUAGCGGGAAAUGCCAGAUAUCAGGAGGAACCGGUGGCGAAGGCGGGUCUCUGGGCAGAACUGACGCUGAGGAACGAAAGCGUGGGUAGCGAAGGAUUAGAUACCCUGUAGCCACCCGUAAA